AAAGAGCGCGUAGGCGGCCUGGCAAGUCUGGUGUGAAAUCUCACAGCUCAACUGUGAAACUGCAUCGGAAACUGCUUGGCUAGAGUGCGGGAGAGGAGAGUGGAAUUCCCAGUGUAGAGGUGAAAUUCGUAGAUACUGGGAGGAACACCGGUGGCGAAGGCGGCUCUCUGGACCGCAACUGACGCUGAGGCGCGAAAGCUAGGGGAGCAAACGGGAUUAGAUACCCCGGUAGUCCUAGCCGUAAACGAUGGGCACUAGGUGUAGGGGGUAUUGACCCCUUCUGUGCCGCAGCUAACGCAUUAAGUGCCCCGCCUGGGGAGUACGGUCGCAAGACUAAAACUCAAAGGAAUUGACGGGGGCCCGCACAAGCGGUGGAGCAUGUGGUUUAAUUCGACGCAACGCGAAGAACCUUACCUGGGUUUAACAUCCUGCGACGACAACAGAGAUGUUGUUUUCCUUCGGGACGCAGUGACAGGUGCUGCAUGGCUGUCGUCAGCUCGUGUCGUGAGAUGUUGGGUUAAGUCCCGCAACGAGCGCAACCCAUGCCCUUAGUUGCCAGCGAGUAAUGUCGGGAACUCUAGGGGAACUGCCGGUGAUAAACCGGAGGAAGGUGUGGAUGACGUCAAGUCCUCAUGGCCUUUAUAUCCAGGGCUACACACGUGCUACAAUGGCCGAUACAAAGGGUCGCAAUCCCGCGAGGGGGAGCCAAUCCCAAAAAGUCGGUCUCAGUUCGGAUUGCAGGCUGCAAUUCGCCUGCAUGAAGGUGGAAUCGCUAGUAAUCCCGGAUCAGCAUGCCGGGGUGAAUACGUUCCCGGGCCUUGUACACACCGCCCGUCACACCACGAAAGCCAGUUGUACCAGAAGUCGCUGGGCCAACCCGCAAGGGAGGUAGGUGCCGAAGGUAUGGCCGGUGAUUGGGGUGAAGUCGUAACAAGGU
rnacentral:rRNA from 1 species